CUGAAAGCAUCUAAGCACGAAACUUGCCCCGAGAUGAGUUCUCCCUGACUCCUUGAGAGUCCUGAAGGAACGUUGAAGACGACGACGUUGAUAGGCCGGGUGUGUAAGCGCAGCGAUGCGUUGAGCUAACCGGUACUAAUGAACCGUGAGGCUUAACCUU
rnacentral:rRNA from 1 species